rnacentral:rRNA from 1 species
UACGGGGGGGGCAAGCGUUGUUCGGAAUUACUGGGCGUAAAGGGCUCGUAGGUGGCCAACUAAGUCAGACGUGAAAUCCCUCGGCUUAACCGGGGAACUGCGUCUGAUACUGGAUGGCUUGAGUUUGGGAGAGGGGUGCGGAAUUCCAGGUGUAGCGGUGAAAUGCGUAGAUAUCUGGAGGAACACCGGUGGCGAAGGCGGCAUCCUGGACCAACACUGACACUGAUGAGCGAAAGCCAGGGGAGCAAACGGG